rnacentral:lncRNA from 1 species
GCUGAUUACUGAUAUUGUCCCCUCUGGAAAUUCCCUACUCAGGUGGGCACUCAACACGGAGUAUUCGGUGAAAACUAGAAAGAGAUGUGCAAGAACGUAAGCUACCUUGGAAGACAAAUAGGCAACACAGGGCCCUAUUAAACCUAAGUUCACACAGUAAUUGGAAGAACAGUCUCAUAAUUUCCAGCUCCCGGGGAAGGCUAACUUGGAACACAACAGAAAAAAGAAGCCCU